UAGUCGUUGGGUCCCUUGAGGACUUAGUGACGCAGCUAACGCAAUAAGUAGACCGCCUGGGGAGUACGGCCGCAAGGUUAAAACUCAAAUGAAUUGACGGGGGCCCGCACAAGCGGUGGAGCAUGUGGUUUAAUUCGAUGCAACGCGAAGAACCUUACCUGGUCUUGACAUAUCUAGAAUCCUGCAGAGAUGCGGGAGUGCCUUCGGGAAUUAGAAUACAGGUGCUGCAUGGCUGUCGUCAGCUCGUGUCGUGAGAUGUUGGGUUAAGUCCCGCAACGAGCGCAACCCUUGUCCUUAGUUACCAGCGGUUUGGCCGGGAACUCUAAGGAUACUGCCAGUGACAAACUGGAGGAAGGCGGGGACGACGUCAAGUCAUCAUGGCCCUUACGACCAGGGCUACACACGUGCUACAAUGGUAGGUACAGAGGGCAGCUACACAGCGAUGUGAUGCGAAUCUCAAAAAGCCUAUCGUAGUCCAGAUUGGAGUCUGCAACUCGAGGACCA
rnacentral:rRNA from 1 species